UACGUAGGGACCAAGCGUUGUCCGGAAUCAUUGGGCGUAAAGAGCGUGUAGGCGGCUUGUUAAGUCUUGCGUGAAAUCUCGGGGCUCAACCCCGAGCGGUCGUGAGAAACUGGCAGGCUAGAGUGCGGGAGAGGAGAGUGGAAUUCCUGGUGUAGCGGUGAAAUGCGCAGAUAUCAGGAGGAACACCGGUGGCGAAGGCGGUUCUCUGGGCCGAUACUGACGCUGAGGAGCGAAAGCGUGGGGAGCGAACAGG
rnacentral:rRNA from 1 species